GGGGAUAUAGCUCAGUUGGUAGAGUGCUUGCCUUGCAUGCACAAGGCCCUGGGUUCAAUCCCCAGUACCACA
rnacentral:tRNA from 1 species